GAGGAGCUUGCUYCUCUGAUUUAGCGGCGGACGGGUGAGUAACACGUGGGCAACCUGCCCUGUAGACUGGGAUAACUUCGGGAAACCGGAGCUAAUACCGGAUAAUUCUUUUAGCCUCAUGGCUUUAAGCUAAAAGGCGCUUCGGCGUCACUACAGGAUGGGCCCGCGGUGCAUUAGCUAGUUGGUGGGGUAACGGCCUACCAAGGCAACGAUGCAUAGCCGACCUGAGAGGGUGAUCGGCCACAUUGGGACUGAGACACGGCCCAAACUCCUACGGGAGGCAGCAGUAGGGAAUCUUCCACAAUGGACGAAAGUCUGAUGGAGCAACGCCGCGUGAGUGAUGAAGGUUUUCGGAUCGUAAAACUCUGUUGUAAGGGAAGAACAAGUGCGUUAGGUAAUGAACGCACCUUGACGGUACCUUAUUAGAAAGCCACGGCUAACUACGUGCCAGCAGCCGCGGUAAUACGUAGGUGGCAAGCGUUGUCCGGAUUUAUU
rnacentral:rRNA from 1 species